rnacentral:rRNA from 1 species
ACGCUCGACACCUACGGGAGCAGCAGUGGGGAAUAUUGCACAAUGGGGGAAACCCUGAUGCAGCGACGCCGCGUAAGCGAAGAAGUAUUUCGGUAUGUAAAGCUCUAUCAGCAGGGAAGAUAAUGACGGUACCUGACUAAGAAGCUCCGGCUAAAUGCGUGCCACAGCCGCGGUAAUCUGAGCGGGCUGGCAAGGC